rnacentral:tRNA from 1 species
GGUUGGAGAGAUGGCUCAGUGGAUAAGAACACUGACUGCUCCUUCAGAGGUCCUGAGUUCAAUUCUCAGCAACCA